rnacentral:rRNA from 1 species
GAUGAACGCUAGCGGCAGGCUUAAUACAUGCAAGUCGUGGGGCAGCAUGAGUAGCAAUACUUGAUGGCGACCGGCAAACGGGUGAGGAACACGUACACAACCUUCCUUCAAGCGGGGAAUAGCCCAGAGAAAUUUGGAUUAAUACCCCAUAAUAUAUUUGAUAAGGCAUCUUAUUAAUAUUAAAGCUUCGGCACUUGAUGAUGGGUGUGCGGCUGAUUAGAUAGUUGGCGGGGUAACGGCCCACCAAGUCUACGAUCAGUAGCUGAUGUGAGAGCAUGAUCAGCCACACGGGCACUGAGACACGGGCCCGACUCCUACGGGAGGCAGCAGUAAGGAAUAUUGGACAAUGGACGAAAGUCUGAUCCAGCCAUGCCGCGUGAAGGAUUAAGGACCUCUGGAUUGUAAACUUCUUUUAUAUGGGACGAAAAAGGGCAUUCUUGUUCACUUGACGGUACCAUAUGAAUAAGCACCGGCUAACUCCGUGCCAG